AUUGAACGCUGGCGGCACGCUUAACACAUGCAAGUCGAGCGGUAACAUGGGUAGUAGCAAUACUAUCUGAUGACGAGCGGCGGACGGGUGAGUAACACGUAGGAACUUGCCCAGUAGUGGGGGACAACCAAGGGAAACUUUGGCUAAUACCGCAUAGACUCGAGAGAGGAAAGCUGCCAGCAAUGGUGUCGCUAUUGGAGAGGCCGGCGUCCGAUUAGCUAGUUGGUGAGGUAAUAGCUUACCAAGGCGAGGAUCGGUAACUGGUCUGAGAGGACGACCAGUCACACUGGGACUGAGACACGGCCCAGACUCCUACGGGAGGCAGCAGUGGGGAAUCUUGGACAAUGGGGGCAACCCUGAUCCAGCGAUGCCGCGUGAGUGAAGAAGGCCUUCGGGUCGUAAAGCUCUUUAGGCUGGGAAGAAGGUUAGUAGUUUAAGAGAUAACUAGCUUGACUGUACCAGCAGAAUAAGCACCGGCAAACUCUGUGCCAGCCGCCGCAGUAA
rnacentral:rRNA from 1 species